GGAGGAUCCAAGCGUUAUCCGGAAUCAUUGGGUUUAAAGGGUCCGUAGGCGGUUUAGUAAGUCAGUGGUGAAAGCCCAUCGCUCAACGGUGGAACGGCCAUUGAUACUGCUAGACUUGAAUUAUUAGGAAGUAACUAGAAUAUGUAGUGUAGCGGUGAAAUGCUUAGAGAUUACAUGGAAUACCAAUUGCGAAGGCAGGUUGCUACUAAUGGAUUGACGCUGAUGGACGAAAGCGUGGGUAGCGAACAGGAUUAGAUACCCUGGUAGUCCACGCCGUAAACGAUGGAUACUAGCUGUUGGGAGCAAUCUCAGUGGCUAAGCGAAAGUGAUAAGUAUCCCACCUGGGGAGUACGUUCGCAAGAAUG
rnacentral:rRNA from 1 species